CCUUUUUUCAGUAAGGAAGAAGAAGUAAUGUCUGUACCUGCAGAAGAACCGCCGACUUACUACCUGCCAGCAGCCGCGGUAAUAGGGGGGGGCGAGCGUCUCCAGUAUUAUUGGGAAUAAAGUGCUCGUAGGCUGUUUGUCUCGUUGUAAAGUAAUCCGGCGGCACCACCCCUCAUCUGCGGUUGGUACGGGCAUAGUAGACUGCAGUGGGGGAGACUGUUCCUGGUGGUGUAGCGGAAGAAGGCGCAGAUAUCAGGAACAACACUGAUGAAGAAGGCUGUUUUUGUGGGUAGUAACUGACGAUGAGGAACGACAGCAGGGGGAAACAACAUGAUUAGAUACCGUGGUAGUCCCUGCCGUAAACGUUGGGCAGUAGUUGUGGGGACUAUUCCAUGUUUGCCGCGCAGCAGAUAAAGCAUUAAGUGCCCCGCGUGGGGAGUACGGCAGCAAGAAUAAAACUCAAAGGAAUUGACGGGGGCCCGCACAAGCGGCGGAGCAUGCGGAUUAAUUUGAUGCAACGAGAAGAACAUCACCAAGGCUUGACAUGUUCUUGAUCGCCGUAGAGAUACGGUUUCCCCUUUGGGGGGGGUUAACAGGUGGAGCAUGGUUGUCAUCAGCUCGUGUCGUGAGAUGUUGGGUUAAGUCCCGCAACGAGCGCAACCCUCGUUCCAUGUUGCCAGCACGUAGUGGGGGGGAAUCAUGGGAGACUGCCGGGGUCAACUCGGAGGAAGGGGAGGACGACAUCAAAUCAUCACCCCCCUUAUGUCUUGGGCUUCACGCAUGCUACAAUGGCCGGUACAAUGGGUUGUGAUACUGUGAGGUGGAGAUAAUCCCAAAAAGCCGGUCUCAGUUCGGAUUGGGGUCUGCAACUCGACCCCAUGAAGUUGUAGUUGGUAGUAAUAGCAGAUCAACAACGCUGCGAAGAAUUUUUUUUUUUUCCUCCUACACACCAACAAAAAAAAAAAAAAAUUUUUUUUU
rnacentral:rRNA from 1 species